rnacentral:rRNA from 1 species
AGCAGCCGCGGUAAUUCCAGCUCCAAUAGCGUAUAUUAAAGUUGUUGCAGUUAAAAAGCUCGUAGUUGAAUUUCGGGAUCAAUAUGUCGGUCGUGCCUCGGUACGUACUGGCGUAAUUGGUUUCUCCCUUCUGAAGAACCGCGAUGUCAUUAAUUUGGUGUCGUGGGGAAUCAGGACUGUUACUUUGAAAAAAUUAGAGUGUUUAAAGCAGGCUCGCGCUUGAAUACAUUAGCAUGGAAUAAUGAAAUAGGACGUUUGAUUCUAUUUUGUUGGUUUCUAGGAUCGACGUAAUGAUUAAUAGGGAUAGUUGGGGGCAUUAGUAUUCAAUUGUCAGAGGUGAAAUUCUUGGAUUUAUUGAAGACUAACUACUGCGAAAGCAUUUGCCAAGGAUGUUUUCAUUAAUCAAGAACGAAAGUUAGGGGAUCGAAGACGAUCAGAUACCGUCGUAGU